rnacentral:rRNA from 1 species
AUUGAACGCUGGCGGCAGGCCUAACACAUGCAAGUCGAGCGAGCGGCGGACGGGUGAGUAAUGUAUGGGGACUGCCCGAUAGAGGGGGAUAACUACUGGAAACGGUAGCUAAUACCGCAUACUAUCGGAUAACCCAUAUGGGAUUAGCUAGUAGGUGAGGUAAUGGCUCACCUAGGCGACGAUCCCUAGCUGGUCUGUGAGGAAGAUCAGCCAAACUGGGACUGAGACACGGCCCAGACUCCUACGGAGGCAGCAGUGGGGAAUAUUGCACAAUGGCCGCAAGCCUGAUGCAGCCAUGCGGCGUAUAUGAAGAAGGGCAUAGGGUUGUAAAGUACUUUCAGUCGGGAGGCGUUACCGACAGAAGAAGCACCGGCUAACUCCGUGCCAGCAGCCGCGGUAAUUC